GCCGCCCCCAGCCCCGACACGGCCCGAAGGGGCCCCUGCGGCCCCGCCGCCCCGUGAGGCCUCCCCGCCGCCCUCCCAACAUGGCCCGCGGGGCUGGCGAGGCGGCAGCGGAGGGGGAACUGGGAGAUGAUAGCCUGUCUGUGAUAACCUGUGAGUCAGACACAGAAAUGAAGUUAAAGAAGAAGAUUUUUCACAAGCCUCCCAAGUCACCAAAGUCUCCCUACAGCUCUAGCACACAACUGUAUCCCAAAAAAGCUGCAGCUUGGCGAUCUCUGCAGGGAACAGGCAGUGCAUGUUCAGAGAGUGCAGCUGUAAAAAAGCCAAGGCAGCUGUGGCUGGAAUCACUGAAACAAGGAAUGAGCCAUCCUCUGAAAUCAGAUGUUGACAUGGGGCAUAUGCGAACCAACAUUUCCAGUAGCACUCCAGAAUAUUUGAAGGAAGCUCUAGGAAUGAAGAAGCCAAAACAUUCUCGUUCUUCUAGUAAUGGCUACAUUCCUGGAACUCCUGACUACAAAGAAAAAGAAGAUAUGUAUGAUGAAAUUAUAGAACUGAAGAAGACAAUACAAGCUCAGAAAAAUGAGGGAGAUCGAAUGAAAACGAAGCUCCGUCGACUGGAACAGGAGAACAGUAGGAAGGAUAAACAGAUUGAACAACUGUUGGAUCCUUCCAGGGGCUCUGAGCUGGCACGAGCUUUAUUAGAAAAGAAGAAUGAUAAUGGAUGGGUGGUCAGUGGAUUAAAGCAGAAGAUUCUCAAGCUUGAACAGCAGUGCAAGGAGAAAGACAACACUAUUAAUGAAUUCCAGGCAGACAUGAAGACCAACAAUUUGGAAGAAGUGAGGUUAGCUAUGGAAACCUACUAUGAAGAGGUUCAUCGCCUCCAACUCCUCCUGGCAAAGUCUGAGACUAUGAGGAAAAAUACAGAGAGCAGAGAUACCCAGAAGAGACUAAAGUCACUGAAUGCUGCUGUCCUGAGAUUGUCCAGGAACAUCAAGGAGUUGCAGACUGAGAAUCGGAGGCUGAAGGAAGAUCUGGAUCAUGUACUGAGCAGUUCUCCUCCUCCCAGUAAAACAAAAAAUUAUAGUGAGUGGAGCAGACAGAGGCUGGUGAGGCGGAUUUCAGAACUGGAAAAAAAAGUAUGUGCCAUGGAGAGCACCAGGGUGUCACCAGCAGAUAGUGACUCAUCACAGUUGCCUGCUGUGUCAUCUUCACCUUCUGUAGACCUGGAUCAUCCAGCCCCCCAAUACAUAGACCAUGUUGAGGAAUGUCAUCAUCUCCAAAGGGAAGUGAAGAAACUGAAGAGUGACAGGAAGGCACUUCAAAAUCUCCUACUCAGUAAAGAAUCAGAUAUCAAGCAGUUGCUGCAGGCUAAGGCUGAAGUGGAGCUGGAGCUGCAGAAGUGGCAGAGUAAGAUGGAAGAAAAGAGUACAGAAAAACAGACUUUAAGUGAGGAAAUCCAGAACCUGACACAGAAAGUAGAGAAACUGGAGUCAAAAUUGGAGGAAGAGAAAAGACAAAUGGCAGAAGAUACAGUGGAAAAUCUUCAUAAGUCUUCACCAGUCUGCACAGUUAAAGGCAAAGAAGAUCACAGGGAAGAACAAGCAGCCAAAAUCAUCCAGAGACACUGGAAGAUGUACAAAACCAAGAAAGAAGAAAUUGCUCUGGAUGAGGCAGUUGUGGUGCUGCAGGCAGCUCUCAGAGGACAUUUAGCUCGACAGAAACUGUUACUGAAUAAUGAGAUCCACGAAGCAAAAUCUCUCAACAAGAACUCCUGCGUGUCUUCCAUGUCAGACUCCUUGGGCUUGUCCUCUGAUUGCGAGGAGAGAGAUGAGACUGUGACGUUCAUUCAGUCCAUUUUCAGGGCUCACUCAGCACGUGCAGUUCUGCUUGAGGAGAGGUCUUCCAUGUCCAGUGCACCAAGUGAGAAAGCAGAUUCUGCACUUUACAGUACAGAGAAGAAACCAGUCUCAGCAGCACUCCAGAGACCUCCUUCAGUCCUAAUGUCGCCUCUUCCUGCUGUUUGUGAGAAGAUGGAGUUAAAGCCAAAGAGGCUUUUAGGAGGAUGUUAGAAGUCCUGAGUGGGAAAGGCAAAACAAUGCUGCAGAUAAGGCAGCUUCAGACAUGCAGCUUCAAAGGAGUUAAAAACAAAUUGAAAAAGAUGAAGAAAAGCUACAACCACUUUUAAGUUUUGGUGACAGGCUCUGAUGAUCUUGAAUUAUUGAAUUCACGAACAAAACUAUUUGUACCAAGAUCAGGCAUGUCAAAGAUGAAGAGAGGAGGAAUAGCAACCCCUUUUUAAUGGCAGUUGACAUUAUUUCAGCCAUUCUUUCAUAUGUCAUCUCUGCAGACUUUAUGGCUAAAAGCCACUGACUGACUGUUAACCUUGCCCUGGCACACAGAGAGUUUGGAUUUAAAAACUCAACCAAAACACUUUAAUGUUUUGUUUCACAAUGAAGAUUGUAAAUUCAGCUGACAAAUUCAAGUGAAAGCAAUAAAGCCUUAAGCUAUUUCAUGUCAAACAAAGUUUUGUUUCAGAUCAACUAAAAUAUAAUUUGUGUAAUCAGAAAGUGGUUAAUGACGUGACUCCAAUUUUCAGCCUGUGUAUGUUCAAGGGUACAGCUGGUAUUUGUUACCUGGACCUUCCUAUUUAAAAAUUUUACUUGUCAUAUUUUGUAUCUUUUUUUGUUAAUUUUUAUACUGAACAUUUACAGACCUUGUAAGCCAUUCCUCUGUCAUAGGGCCAUUCUAGGCCUACUGUAUCAGCUGGCUUUCCUUAUUUAUUGCUCUUUCCACAUGUGCUUGUGAUGAUGUGUACAGAAUGUUUUGUAUUUGAAAUGUCUGAUCACAUAAUCAGAUUUUUGCAUUUGUCAGGGCAGGUGUGUAGUGGCAGGAGUGUUCUGUGAAGGUAUCCCCUUGUGACUGCUUUCUGCUUACAGAUCACAGAUUUGAGUUCAUUAUACAGAGUCAUCUCUAAGAUGUGAAAACAUGUGACACAGGAGAUAGGACUGUCUGAAAUGUUCACCUGACUGCAGUGCUCAUGCACUGAGGGGAGGAGCACUAAGGUUUUAAGUCUGAUGUUCCUUUGCUGUGGUUGAUACCUGUUCCCAGUACUACCUUUGCCUGUGCACACCUGCACAGUGGGUCCAGGCAGAAUUUGAGAGAGGGAUCACAUAUCCACCCAUCUUCUGUCCUCAGGUAAAGCUGCCAGGCUGGUGCUGGAGAACAUGGGCACUGCCCACUUAGUUCUGUGCAUUGUGGAUUAGGAUGAGCAUAAUAAAAAAAAACUAAUCCAUGCAGUUUGGUUUGGGAACAGAAGUGGUAGGUUGAAUUAAAAAAUUAAGACUGCAUCCAGAAACAGCACUGACAAUAGCAUUGUCCACGGAAAGACCAAAGACCUAAGGGGCUGUGGAGAAUAUAAUCAGAGGGGUCUUUCCAGAUCUUCUGUGCAGACUGUACUUUUUGACUGGAGAAUUCCUACUGUCACACCAACACCCUUCAAAAUCAUUAAAAUGCUUAUGUGGGUUUUUUUAAUCAUGAUAUUUAUUGAAAGGAUAAUUUCAUUUUACAUGCACACAGCGAAGGUUUGCUGGAAACUCUAAUGGUUUCUUUGUCAUCCAAGAGUAAUAAAGUCUCCUGUAAACAGAAAGCACACUCUUAAAUAUAAGAUUUUUAUCACCUUCUCUUUUUUAAAUUAAAAAUCAGUCACCACUGUUUUGCAGAAUACCAAUAAGUCAGAGCUGUCUCCGUUUUGUGAUUUCAGUGAAGGACUAUCUGAAGCUUAUCAGAGUUUAUGCCAGUACUUGCAGCCAAAGAGGAAACUGGAUGGCUGCAGCACAAUGCAGCUGAUUUCAUUUAAUCCCAUCGGUGGAAAUGCUGCCUGUACUAUUUCCAAAGGCAGUUCUGGGAGCUCUCCAUACCCAAAGCAGCCUGAAGAAUGUCAUUUGCACUCCCAAUGGGUAAAUUUUUCCUGGCUGUACUUUGGUCACAUGACUGUCAUCUGCAGAAAGGAUAAAAAAAUAUAUAUAAAAUAAAAGGGAUAGAAUCCUCUUGGUAGAAGCUGAGACCUGCUUCCCUCUGUUUCUGGAAGUCAUGUUAAGAAGAAGGGUCAUUUUGCUAAAUGGAAGCAGAGCUGUACUGAGUUGCCUGUGUAUAAUAUUUCAAGUCUGUAACUGGGGCUCUGUCAUGGAUCUCUCCAGAGAGUAACUAGAGCUGAGGACUGACACAUUAAGGGAAGGGUAUGUAGUGUGUCAGGACCCAGACUGGUAUCAAAUACCUACCUAGCUGUUAUCCUACAGGGAAAUACUGAGACAGCAAAUAUAAUAAAGAUGACAUUCUUUUACUUUACUGUGCUGUAAUGACCAAUAUGAAAGCAUUAGGAAGUUGAUACAGAGCAGGAAGAUUUGUGUUUUACCUGAGCCUGUGACCAGCAGUAGAGCUGUCAACAGACAACUUCUGGCAUAAAGGGGAGCUGGUAUCUUGGGAUGACCCAAAGGCACAGGAUCAGGAUGAAAAAGAUGAAACAUUUUCUGGAAGGAGUGAAAAUAUGUCUAGAGCUUUCUAAAUUUGAGACUGCUAUCUCCUAGGUAUCAAAAAUCAGAUACUUUACUUGAGAUGGGUUUCAAACUGAUAUUUUGGUUUGGAGGAGAACUUGCUCACUGCACAACGAGUUUGGUGUGGUACAGUAGGAAGAGAAACCUCCACAGUAUCAGUAGCCUUUAACAUGGUUGUGUUGUACACUGGAAUGGAGUGUGUUGAAGGGAACAGCGGUGGACACAAGGUUUUGUUCUGUGGUUAUCUGAACGCCAGCACCUGUGGGAAGAAGUGUGGAACAAGGAUGGAAGAAAAAAUUAUUUGAAUAAAUGGCAUUUUUCCUCAACAGGGAGCCGAGGACAGUGAAAGUCAGUGUGGCUCAAACCUCUCAAAAUAAACCCAAUACAAACAUGUUGUUUCUGAAAAAUAAGUUUUCUGUAGAAAGCCCUGGAAACCUUGUGGGGGCAUCAAGGUCUUGAAUUAAAAUUAAAUUCCACUGUAACCUAUGUAAUCUAAAAGCACACUUUCCAUGCUGUUGAUAUGGAAUAAUGUUUCCAACUUAAAACCUUUUGCAGUGUUUAGUUAGAGAUUGUGUGUGAGUACAGAGAUUGGACUUUAAUGGGACAUUAUCUCUCUUGAUCUCUUUUUGCCCUUAAGUGCCUUUGCCUGUAAAUCUUUACUGAGGCAUCAAGACAUGAAAACUGUGGUUUUUUGCAUAGCUAUAAAAAUAAUCCCUGCACAGGCAACUUUUAAUGUAGUCAAAAUGGAAAAGGAGUAAUCUUGGCGUAUGAGAGCACCAUUAAUUUUUAUGAUCUUUUUAAUAUUCAGAACUGUGCAAGUAUUUUAUGUAACUUAUUUUGGGAUCCUCGAAAAGCUAACACAAUUGCAAUGUGUUUACUCCUGAUUGUUGAAUUUUGAAAUAAAGUUUGUAUAUGAACAGGUGA